UAGUUGGUGGGGUAAUGGCCUACCAAGACAAUGACGCUUAACUGGUUUGAGAGGAUGAUCAGUCACACUGGAACUGAGACACGGUCCAGACUCCUACGGGAGGCAGCAGUGGGGAAUAUUGCACAAUGGGGGGAACCCUGAUGCAGCAACGCCGCGUGGAGGAUGACACAUUUCGGUGCGUAAACUCCUUUUAUAUAAGAAGAUAAUGACGGUACUUUAUGAAUAAGCACCGGCUAACUCCGUGCCAGCAGCCGCGGUAAUACGGGGGGUGCAAGCGUUACUCGGAAUCACUGGGCGUAAAGAGAAUGUAGGCGGUAGAAAAGUCAGAAGUGAAAUCCUACGGCUUAACCGUAGAACUGCUUCUGAAACUCUUUACCUAGAAUAUGGGAGAGGUAGAUGGAAUUUCUGGUGUAGGGGUAAAAUCCGUAGAGAUCAGAAGGAAUACCGAUUGCGAAGGCGAUCUACUGGAACAUUAUUGACGCUAAGAUUCGAAAGCGUGGGGAGCAAACAGGAUUAGAUACCCUGGUAGUCCACGCCCUAAACGAUGUACACUAGUUGUUGUGAGACUAGAUCUUGCAGUAAUGCAGUUAACACAUUAAGUGUACCGCCUGGGGAGUACGGUCGCAAGAUUAAAACUCAAAGGAAUAGACGGGGACCCGCACAAGCGGUGGAGCAUGUGGUUUAAUUCGACGAUACGCGAAGAACCUUACCUGGACUUGACAUAGUAAGAACUUUCUAGAGAUAGAUUGGUGUCUGCUUGCAGAAGCUUAUAUACAGGUGCUGCACGGCUGUCGUCAGCUCGUGUCGUGAGAUGUUGGGUUAAGUCCCGCAACGAGCGCAACCCACGUGAUUAGUUGCUAACAGUUCGGCUGAGAACUCUAAUCAGACUGCCUUCGUAAGGAGGAGGAAGGUGUGGACGACGUCAAGUCAUCAUGGCCCUUACGUCCAGGGCUACACACGUGCUACAAUGGGGCAUACAAAGAGCAGCGAUACCGCGAGGUGGAGCAAAUCUUAAAAAUGCCUCCCAGUUCGGAUAGUACUCUGCAACUCGAGUGCUUGAAGUUGGAAUCGCUAGUAAUCGUAGAUCAGCAAUGCUACGGUGAAUACGUUCCCGGGUCUUGUACUCACCGCCCGUCACACCAUGGGAGUUGAUUUCAUUCGAAGCGGGGAUGCUAAGAUAGCUACCUUCCACAGUGGAAUUAGCGACUGGGGUG
rnacentral:rRNA from 1 species